rnacentral:rRNA from 1 species
GGACGUGUCUCCUUCUUCGUGCUCCUCCUCCUCCUCCUUGUGUCAAUGGUCGCGGUUAGAUCCGCCGCUGCAGUGCAGCAAGGAUAAUGGUACAAAGUCAUGGAUUUUUAUGCCGCUGGGGACGGUGCGACGAGUGAUGCCGAGGCGUUCGAGGAGACGUGGAAAGUAGCCUGCAGCAGCCACAACAGCGAGGUGAUCAUGUACAUCCCUGCAGGAAAGACAUUCUUGCUGAACCAGACCAGGUUCGACGGACCCUGUAAGUCGCCCAUCACCGUACAGGUCGGAAUUGACGUCGUGGCACCAAACUCCCUCUAUUCAAAGCCAUCAGACCUCCUGACCUUCUAUGGUGUCGACAACCUAACAGUGAACGGGAGCAGCCAAACAGAUGGGCGAGGCGCCCAGUGGUGGGAUUGCUACAACAAAAAGUCAUUGUCACUCGCGCACUGCAACAAUCUACGGGUGACCAACAUACGUCUCAAGGACAUCGCCGACAAGAACUUGAUCCUGUAUGAGUGCAUGCAGGUGCAGGUGCACAACGUCUCCAUCGCGGCGCUGGGCGACAGCCCCAACACCGACGGGAUCAACAUGGGCUCCUCCAACCAUGUAAACAUCUCGUCUUGCUCUAUGCACACCGGUGAUGAUUGUGUGUCGAUUCUAUCGGGAACCACCGAUGUUAACGUCACUAACACCACCUGCGGGCCUGGUCAUGGCAUCAGUGUGGGAAGUCUUGGAGGUGUUGGUGACGGCCCAACGCUGGUGGAAAGAAUUACAGUGUCCAACUGCAGCUUCUUCAAUACCACGACCGGUGUGAGGAUCAAAUUGUGGCAGGGAGGGCAAGGCAAAGCAACCGGAUUCCUUUUCACCAAACUCAGAAUGACUGCUAUCCGGUUGCUUAUCGACAUCGACCAGUUCUAUUGCCCCCAAGGAAACGGUCCACCACGGGAUGGUGGUGUGGCCAUAACGGACCCUCUAUUCGUCGACAUCCAGGGGACGUCCUCAGAACGAGAGACCAUCAAGAUCAUGUGCAGCAAGAGUGUGCCGUGCCACGACAUCUAGCCCAAAAACGACAACCUCUCUUGGGCCAACCACAUUGCCCCAGCACAAGCUCUUGUUCAGAAUGCCAAUGGAAGCGUCACGGGAAUGGUGAAGCCACAAACACAGUUCGCUGGCAAUUGA